GACGAACGCUGGCGGCGUGCCUAAUACAUGCAAGUCGAACGCUGAAGGAGGAGCUUGCUUCUCUGGAUGAGUUGCGAACGGGUGAGUAACGCGUAGGUAACCUGCCUGGUAGCGGGGGAUAACUAUUGGAAACGAUAGCUAAUACCGCAUAAGAGUAGAUGUUGCAUGACAUUUGCUUAAAAGGUGCAAUUGCAUCACUACCAGAUGGACCUGCGUUGUAUUAGCUAGUUGGUGGGGUAACGGCUCACCAAGGCGACGAUACAUAGCCGACCUGAGAGGGUGAGCGGCCGCACUGGGACUGAGACACGGCCCAGACUCCUACGGGAGGCAGCAGUAGGGAAUCUUCGGCAAUGGACGGAAGUCUGACCGAGCAACGCCGCGUGAGUGAAGAAGGUUUUCGGAUCGUAAAGCUCUGUUGUAAGAGAAGAACGAGGGUGAGAGUGGAAAGUUCACACUGUGACGGUAUCUUACCAGAAAGGGACGGCUAACUACGUG
rnacentral:rRNA from 1 species